rnacentral:rRNA from 1 species
AUUGAACGCUGGCGGCAUGCUUUACACAUGCAAGUCGAACGGCAGCGCGGGCUUCGGCCUGGCGGCGAGUGGCGAACGGGUGAGUAAUGCAUCGGAACGUGCCCAGUAGUGGGGGAUAGCCCGGCGAAAGCCGGAUUAAUACCGCAUACGACCUGAGGGUGAAAGCGGGGGACCGAAAGGCCUCGCGCUAUUGGAGCGGCCGAUGUCGGAUUAGCUAGUUGGUGGGGUAAAGGCUUACCAAGGCGACGAUCCGUAGCUGGUCUGAGAGGACGACCAGCCACACUGGGACUGAGACACGGCCCAGACUCCGACGGGAGGCAGCAGUGGGGAAUUUUGGACAAUGGGGGCAACCCUGAUCCAGCCAUGCCGCGUGCGGGAAGAAGGCCUUCGGGUUGUAAACCGCUUUUGUUCGGGAAGAAAUCCUCUGGGCUAAUACCCCGGGGGAUGACGGUACCGGAAGAAUAAGCACCGGCUAACUACGUG